AUUGAACGCUGGCGGCAUGCUUUACACAUGCAAGUCGAACGGUAACAGGUUAAGCUGACGAGUGGCGAACGGGUGAGUAAUGCAUCGGAACGUUCCCGGUCGUGGGGGAUAACGCAGCGAAAGCUGCGCUAAUACCGCAUACGAUCUGAGGAUGAAAGCGGGGGACCGUAAGGCCUCGCGCGAUCGGAGCGGCCGAUGUCAGAUUAGGUAGUUGGUGGGGUAAAGGCUCACCAAGCCAACGAGCUGUAGCUGGUCUGAGAGGACGACCAGCCACGCUGGGACGGGGACGCGGCACAGACUCCUACCGGAGGCAGUAGUGGGGAAUUUGGGACAAUGGGAGAAAGCCAGUUCCAGCAAUGCCGCGUGCAGGCAGAAGGCCUUCGGGUUGUAAACUGCUUUUGUACGGGGCGAAAGGGUCUCCUCUAAGACAGGGGGCUUAUGACGGUACCGUAAGAAUAGGCACCGGCUAAGUACGUGCCAGCAGCCGCGGUAA
rnacentral:rRNA from 1 species